CAACACCUAUAAUCUACCUCAACACCUACAAGGUACUGUAGUCUACCUCAACACCUAUAAUCUACCUCAACACCUACAAGGUACUGUAGUCUACCUCAACACCUACAAGGUACUGUAGUCUACCUCAACACCUACAAGGUACUGUAGUCUACCUCAACACCUACAAGGUACUGUAGUCUACCUCAACACCUACAAGGUACUGUAGUCUACCUCAACACCUACAAGGUACUGUAGUCUACCUCAACACCUACAAGGUACUGUAGUCUACCUCAAC